CCAGGCUUGGUGUAUUGAGAAUGCUUCUAAAGGUGUUGACAGUAUUCCUACUCCCAAACCUUGUCUGGACAAGUUUCAUGUCCUUAAACUCAUUGAAGAUCUUUCUCUUCCUCAGCUCCAGGUGAAAGCUAUCAGAGAGUUAGAGCUGCUGGCAGCAGCGAAUGAAAGGAAUAGGAAGUACUUGGCUGAAGCUGGGGUGCCUAGGGCC
rnacentral:misc_RNA from 1 species